GGAAGCAGGGGCAGGCAAUCGCGUUGUGGCUAUCGCAGAGAUGGCUGGAAUGAGGAAAGUCCGGGCUUCCAGAAGCAACACACCGCUGGAGAAACUCCAGUGCGGGCAACCGUGAGGACAGUGCCACAGAAACAUACCGCCGAUGGAAGGUGCUAUUUCCCAAUAGCGAUUCACAGGUAAGGGUGCAAUGGUGGGGCGCAUGCGCUUAAUGUAAGAGCCCACCAGCAGCAUCGAGAGGUGCUGGCUUGGUAAACCCCGGUGGGAAGCAAGGCCGCAGCAACGGGACUAUGGCUGUUCUUCGCCCCCGAUUGCUGCAUCAGGAUCCAGGUAGGUUGCUUUGUAGUUUGACUACGGGUGGCCCAAGGUGGAUCCCUGAUGGAAUCGCGCCGCCAGAGGUCGGCAGUAAUGUCGAUCCCAGAUAGAUGGUUGCCACUGCUCGUCAGGGCAGCACAGAACCCGGCUUACAACCUACUUCUCCUU
rnacentral:RNase_P_RNA from 1 species